AGAGUUUGAUCAUGGCUCAGAUUGAACGCUGGCGGCAUGCCUUACACAUGCAAGUCGAACGGUAACAGGUCUUCGGAUGCUGACGAGUGGCGAACGGGUGAGUAAUACAUCGGAACGUGCCCGAUCGUGGGGGAUAACGCAGCGAAAGCUGUGCUAAUACCGCAUACGAUCUACGGAUGAAAGCGGGGGAUCGCAAGACCUCGCGCGGACGGAGCGGCCGAUGGCAGAUUAGGUAGUUGGUGGGAUAAAAGCUUACCAAGCCGACGAUCUGUAGCUGGUCUGAGAGGACGACCAGCCACACUGGGACUGAGACACGGCCCAGACUCCUACGGGAGGCAGCAGUGGGGAAUUUUGGACAAUGGGGGAAACCCUGAUCCAGCCAUGCCGCGUGCAGGAUGAAGGCCUUCGGGUUGUAAACUGCUUUUGUACGGAACGAAAAGGUCCUUUCUAAUAAAGAGGGCUCAUGACGGUACCGUAAGAAUAAGCACCGGCUAACUACGUGCCAGCAGCCGCGGUAAUACGUAGGGUGCGAGCGUUAAUCGGAAUUACUGGGCGUAAAGCGUGCGCAGGCGGUUAUAUAAGACAGAUGUGAAAUCCCC
rnacentral:rRNA from 1 species